CAGACGUCUGAAAUGGACUUGCAGCUGUUCUUUGACAAACAAUAACAAGAGCGGCGAGCGAACAGCGACGGCUCUCGUAUCUGUAACCGAAGUGAAAUUAAUCGUGUUAGGCGACACCACUCGGACAUUGACGGGGAAAUUCUAGCCUCCGCUUCCUCCUCCACCGACUCGGAAACCGGCGGAGCUUCGCCGCCCCCGCGGAAGAAAAGCCGAGGCUCGGCGGCGGAGGGAGCAGGAGAGAGCGGGGCGUCUUUUGCCGGGAUCACGGGCCUCUCGGCGGCUUCUCUCCCAACCCCCACCAGCACUCAUCCAUACGCCUCAAUAACAACCCACCACCGCUCAGAUCCGGCGCUAUAAACGCGUUGUACAAACAUGCAGACCAACGGGACCGGAGGACAAGAGCCGGAACUGCAGCUGUCGUGCAGGAACGGAGAUUCUUCGUCCUCCACAGCAGGAGCUUUGCACUCCAACGGGGUGCUGUCCUCCGCUAAUAACGGACUGCCGUCCACCGAGAGCCCGGCCUCGGACACCAGCAUGAUGAAGAAGAAACGACUGUCGCAGAGCGAUGAGGAUGUGAUCAGACUGAUUGGACAGCACCUACACGGGCUAGGACUCGAUCAAACUGUGGACCUGUUGAUGCAGGAGUCAGGCUGUAGACUUGAACAUCCAGCUGCUACCAAGUUCCGGAAUCAUGUGAUGGAGGGAGAGUGGGAAAAGGCUGAGAGUGACCUCAAUGAGCUGAAGACACUGAUGCAUUCACCCAGCGCUGUUGUGCGGAUGAAGUUUUUGCUCCUGCAGCAGAAGUAUCUGGAGUAUCUGGAGGAUGGGAAGGUUUUGGAAGCUCUGCAUGUGCUCAGAGCUGAGCUCACCCCACUGAAGUACAACACUGAACGCAUCCACGUGCUCAGCGGGUACCUGAUGUGCAGUCACUCUGAUGAUCUGUGUGCUAAGGCUGAGUGGGAGGGGAAAGGAACGGUCUCGCGAUCCAAACUCCUCGACAAGCUGCAGACAUAUCUGCCCCCAUCUGUGAUGCUGCCGCCCCAUCGUCUUCAGACUCUUUUGCGUCAGGCAGUGGAGCUGCAGAGAGAUCGCUGUCUGUACCACAACACCAAACUGGACAGUGGGCUGGACUCAGUGUCUCUGCUCAUAGACCAUGUGUGCAGCAGGAAACAGUUCCCCUGCUACACCCAACAGAUCUUGACAGAGCACUGCAAUGAAGUCUGGUUCUGCAAAUUCUCCAAUGAUGGCACCAAACUGGCCUCUGGAUCCAAAGACACAACAGUCAUUUUAUGGCAGGUCGACCCUGAGACUCACCAGCUCAAGCAGUUGAAGACACUGGAGGGUCAUGCCUAUGGGGUUUCCUAUUUGGCCUGGAGCCCUGACGACACUUAUUUGAUUGCCUGCGGCCCAGACGACUGCUCUGAGCUCUGGCUCUGGAAUGUUCAGACAGGGGAGCUGAGAACUAAAAUGAGCCAGUCUCAUGAGGACAGCCUGACCAGUGUGGCCUGGAACCCAGACGGCAAGCGUUUUGUUACCGGAGGGCAGAGAGGCCAGUUCUACCAGUGUGAUCUGGAUGGAAAUCUUCUGGACUCGUGGGAGGGUGUGCGUGUGCAGUGCCUGUGGUGUUUGAGCGACGGCAGAACAGUCCUCGCCUCUGAUACACACCAGCGGAUCCGUGGAUACAACUUUGAAGAUCUGACUGACAGGAACAUUGUUCAAGAGGACCACCCCGUAAUGUCCUUCACCGUGUCAAAGAAUGGAAGAUUAGCUCUGUUAAAUGUUGCAACUCAGGGAGUUCAUCUGUGGGACCUUCAGGACCGGGUUUUAGUCAGGAAGUACCAGGGUGUGACUCAGGGCUUCUAUACCAUCCACUCUUGCUUCGGCGGCUAUAACGAAGACUUUAUUGCCAGUGGCAGUGAAGAUCACAAAGUUUACAUCUGGCACAAGCGCAGCGAGCUGCCCAUUGCCGAGCUGACGGGUCACACGCGCACUGUAAACUGCGUGAGCUGGAACCCAGUGCUGCGGGGCAUGAUGGCCAGCGCCUCAGACGAUGGCACUGUACGGGUCUGGGGUCCCGCCCCCUUUCUGGACUCGCAGGAGACCGAGGGGCUAAAUGGGCUGACCGCAACCAGGAGAUGACAGAGGAGGAUCAAGUAACCAUGAGUUAACUCCCCAGUUUACAUCAGUAAAACGAAUGCUACAGCGGGGACAGUUGAUGUUGACACUGGAGCAGAUGUCCACUUUGGAAAAUUUACAGUGAGACACACUAUAGACUUUGUGAAUGAAGAAUGAAAACAUGAUGUAAAAAACAACGGCAGAUGGAUAUUCUUUUCUAGCGGUUUCACAUCCCCAACCCACAAUGGAGUGGCAGCGUUCGCCACCAGAGACGUCGAUUCACUUGAAUUAAAAUGAAGCCGGCUGCUGCCCUUCACCACCUGACUUCAAACCCAUGUGGCACCAAACGGUCAUGCCACACCCCUCACUGAGGACACGGCCAUCUCGGUGUAAGCUCCUCCUCCUUUCUACACUGCAUCCUUAGUGGACUCCUGAAACUACACGCACACAUACAAAAACAAACGUCUUUUAAAACGUUAUUUAUUACGGCUUUAAUUUAUUAUUGUGAACGAAUCAAGGCCUCAGGCUCGGUUUCUGUUCUGUACAAUAAUCAAACACAUAAAAAUUUCCUUUUUCUGGCAUGUGUGCACCGCAACUUCUCCGGCCAGAAAAUGGGGUGGAACGGUGUCACGGUCUCAAAGACUAUCACAGUAAUGGAGGUGUUCUAUAGAGAACAAAUCAUAUCUUUAUUUUUCAGCAUGAACUCUUGUGCCCUUUUAGCCACCUCUGUGACAACAUAUGCUUGAAAGUAAGUGUCUUCACCAGCAGAUAUAUAUAGAUAUAUAUAUAUAUAUAUACACACAGUAUUUUGUUUUCCUCCAUGACUUACAACAAUUUUAAAUGACUGAAUUUACAGGCAUUUUUAACAGCUUGAUAUCAUCUUUUGUUUAGAGAAUUCCAAUCAAGACCCCAAAUCAUAAUUUUGUCCCUCUAUUCAUAAUUACAGUACUUAUAUUAUCUAUAAUGUGGUCGUUUUGAGAAGGGGAAUGUUUGCAAGAGUUGAUGGAUUAUUCAUCAUUUCUUAUUCAAAUAUUUAAGAUGAGCCGACUCACAGAUAUGUUUUGUUAACAAGGUUGAAAAUGAACCUACAACAGAUAAACUGAUACAUAUUUGAGACUGUGAGGCUUGCUUAGACUUGCAGCAGCAUGCUAAACAUCCUGAUAACAACAAACUAAUGUCAUGUAAAUAUUGACUUCAGCGUACAUACUUUGCUUUCGUAAAUGGCUAAUAGGUGUUUGUAUCAUAGUUGAAGUCAUUUGAAGUAAAUUUCUAGGCUUUUGGUCUGAGGCCUCAUCUACACCACUCCAUUGUUUUCAGUUUUCUAACGUCAUUGUUUUCCAAUGUGUGGGAAUGGUGAAUGUUUUCGAACAGCUGUUUUUUUUGGUGGAGGAAAUCCCUGUUUUAGUGAGGAUGAGACAUAAAUGUUUUCGAAUAAAAAUAUGCCUAAUACUUUUGAGUUUGAAAACACAUUGAUUUCACUACGUUUCUGCCUCUCGUCCACUGUAGAACGGGACUUUCCUCUACUGAAAAACAUUCUCCAUACAAAACAAUUUUAAAAAGGUGGAGGAAAGUGCAGGUCUAGUGUGGUUGAGAGGCAGAAACGUAGCGAAAUCGAUGUGUUUUCAAAUGAAAAUACAGAUAAUUUAGUUUUUGCUGCAUUUACACCUCACAUCAACUCUAAAACAGUGUUUUGCAAAUGUCCAUUCCUAUGGAAACAUAGCAAAGUCGGUGCGUUUUUUAAAAGAAAAUAUGGUGAAUUCAUUUUCAGUUUUGCUACGUUUACACCUCUCAUCCACUCUAGGAUGGCGCUUUCCUCCAUCGAAAACAGUGUUUCGAAAAUGUUCUCCAUUCCAACAUAAGCGUAGCAAAGUGGGUAGUAGUAAAUAUGCAUUGUUUACACGUUUCAUCCACACUAGAACAGCUAUUUCCUCCACCGAAAGACGAACGUUUUGAAAACGUUCUCCAUUCCCCCAAAGUUUGGAAAAUGAAGACAUUAGUAAACGGAUUAGUGUGGACAUGGCUUGAGGGAUGCUGGAACAUAAGAACUAAAAUGUAUUGUUAAGUACACCAACACAAUGAAUGGAAACCCAAAUGUGAUUCUUGUGUACAUGUUUGGUCUGUGUUCCAGUAUAUUCAUUUCCCUCUCAUUCCAUAUUGUCCCCUUUCGGUGGUCUCAUUUUUGGAUUUCCUUGGAUGUUUUUUUAUAUUUAUUUUUAAUCAUUUUCAGACGUAUAUGACUUCACCUAUGAUUUCCUGUUUUAUUUGGGGUUGAUUUAUAAUUUCCCACUUUUAUUGCUUCUUUUCCCUUAUAUUAUCAUAUAGCGGAUGUUUUGGCAAGUGGCCUCUUAACUGCUUUUUUCUAUUUGUAUAAAACUUUCUUAUACUUUCGUACCAUAUUACGCAUUAGUACAUGCAGGUGUACCCUAUAAUGAUUUAAUUAUUCAGAGCGAAAGAAACUUUGCCUACUAUGAUUUCUUCUGUAAUUGUGUUCAUCAUUUAUAUAUGAAGAAUCUAUAGAUAUAUAUAUAUAUAUAUAUAUAUAUACAUAUGUUUGUGCAUUUCUUGCCAUGCAUCCUCCCUUACAAAUGUUAACCAUUUCUCACCUGCAUCAGGUAAACUCCUCUGUACAGGCUAUUCGUACUCAGACCAGCAAAACCUGUUUUGUUUCUGAGGGGUGACACACAAAGAAAAAAAAUAACAAAGCAGGUGCAUGCAGAAAACACGCCCUCACACAUGCGCUUCAACCAUGAAGAUAUCACAGAAUUGUGGUGUUGUGUUUCUGGUUUAUGCAACCUAACUUUCCUUUUCUUCUGAAUAUUUGUGUUUCAUUUGAGGUCUUAGAUUGACUUUCUUGCGCCAUGAGCCAGCAGGGUAACGGUAGCACCCUGGGCAGUUGAGUUCUGACAGAUCUGUUUUGCAGUUCAGUGUGUUAUUAUUCUUAGUGAUUGUACUAGUAUGUAAUGUCAUGUAGGAGAGGUGUUAUGUAUACAUACUUUCAAUAAAGCAU